rnacentral:rRNA from 1 species
UGGGGAAUUUUGGACAAUGGGCGAAAGCCUGAUCCAGCAAUGCUGCGUGUGUGAAGAAGGCCUUCGGGUUGUAAAGCACUUUUGUCCGGAAAGAAAUCCUUGGCUCUAAUACAGUCGGGGGAUGACGGUACCGGAAGAAUAAGCACCGGCUAACUACGUGCCAGCAGCCGCGGUAAUACGUAGGGUGCAAGCGUUAAUCGGAAUUACUGGGCGUAAAGCGUGCGCAGGCGGUUUGCUAAGACCGAUGUGAAAUCCCCGGGCUCAACCUGGGAACUGCAUUGGUGACUGGCAGGCUAGAGUAUGGCAGAGGGGGGUAGAAUUCCACGUGUAGCAGUGAAAUGGCGUAGAGAUGUGGAGGAAUACCGAUGGCGAAGGCAGCCCCCUGGGCCAAUACUGACGCUCAUGCACGAAAGCGUGGGGAGCAAACAGGAUUAGAUACCCUGGUAGUCCACGCCCUAAACGAUGUCAACUAGUUGUUGGGGAUUCAUUUCCUUAGUAACGUAGCUAACGCGUGAAGUUGACCGCCUGGGGGUACGGUCGCAAGAUUAAAAGCUC